ACUAGAGACCGGCGCACGGGUGCGUAACGCGUAUGCGAUCUACCUUUUACAGAGGGAUAGCCCAGAGAAAUUUGGAUUAAUACCUCAUAGUAUAAUGACUUGGCAUCAAGACAUUAUUAAAGUCACAACGGUAAAAGAUGAGCAUGCGUCCCAUUAGCUAGUUGGUAAGGUAACGGCUUACCAAGGCUACGAUGGGUAGGGGUCCUGAGAGGGAGAUCCCCCACACUGGUACUGAGACACGGACCAGACUCCUACGGGAGGCAGCAGUGAGGAAUAUUGGACAAUGGGCGCAAGCCUGAUCCAGCCAUGCCGCGUGCAGGAUGACGGUCCUAUGGAUUGUAAACUGCUUUUAUACGAGAAGAAACACUACUUCGUGAAGUAGCUUGACGGUAUCGUAAGAAUAAGGAUCGGCUAACUCCGUGCCAGCAGCCGCGGUAAUACGGAGGAUCCAAGCGUUAUCCGGAAUCAUUGGGUUUAAAGGGUCCGUAGGCGGUUUAGUAAGUCAGUGGUGAAAGCCCAUCGCUCAACGGUGGAACGGCCAUUGAUACUGCUGAACUUGAAUUAUUAGGAAGUAACUAGAAUAUGUAGUGUAGCGGUGAAAUGCUUAGAGAUUACAUGGAAUACCAAUUGCGAAAGGCAGGUUACUACUAAAUUGAUUGACGCUGAUGGACGAAGCGUGGGUAGCGAACAGGAUUAGAUACCCUGGUAGUCCACGCCGUAACGAUGGAUACUAGCUGUUGGGAGCAUCUC
rnacentral:rRNA from 1 species